GCACCAGUAGUUCUAGUGGUAGAAUAGUACCCUGCCACAGUAUAGACCCCGGGUUCGAUUCUCGACUGGUGCA
rnacentral:tRNA from 1 species